GAUGAACGCUGGCGGCGUGCCUAAUACAUGCAAGUCGAGCGAACAGACGAGGAGCUUGCUCCUUUGACGUUAGCGGCGGACGGGUGAGUAACACGUGGGUAACCUACCUAUAAGACUGGGAUAACUUCGGGAAACCGGAGCUAAUACCGGAUAAUAUUUCGAACCGCAUGGUUCGAUAGUGAAAGAUGGCUUUGCUAUCACUUAUAGAUGGACCUGCGCCGUAUUAGCUAGUUGGUAAGGUAACGGCUUACCAAGGCAACGAUACGUAGCCGACCUGAGAGGGUGAUCGGCCACACUGGAACUGAGACACGGUCCAGACUCCUACGGGAGGCAGCAGUAGGGAAUCUUCCGCAAUGGGCGAAAGCCUGACGGAGCAACGCCGCGUGAGUGAUGAAGGUCUUCGGAUCGUAAAACUCUGUUAUUAGGGAAGAACAAACGUGUAAGUAACUGUGCACGUCUUGACGGUACCUAAUCAGAAAGCCACGGCUAACUACGUGC
rnacentral:rRNA from 1 species